rnacentral:rRNA from 1 species
GUCGAGAGGCUUUGGCAAUGGGGGAAACCCUGACCAAGCGACGCCGCGUGGAGGAUGAAGGCCCUUGGGUUGUAAACUCCUUUUGUUGGGGAAGAAAUGCGAUCAAGUGAAUAAUUUGGUCGUUUGACGGUACCCGACGAAUAAGCUCCGGCUAACUCCGUGCCAGCAGCCGCGGUAACACGGGGGGAGCAAGCGUUGUUCGGAAUCACUGGGCGUAAAGGGCGUGUAGGCGGUCAAGUAAGUGGGAUGUGAAAUGCCCCGGCUCACCCGGGGACCUGCAUCUCAAACUGCUUGGCUCGAGUAUGGGAGAGGAUGAGGGAAUUCCUGGUGUAGCGGUGAAAUGCGUAGAUAUCAGGAGGAACACCGGUGGCGAAAGCGCUCAUCUGGCCCAAUACUGACGCUGAGGCGCGAAAGCUAGGGGAGCAAACGGGAUUAGAAACCCGGGUAGUCC